UACAGAGACCUCAAGCGUUAUCCGGAAUGAUUGGGCGUAAAGCGUCCGCAGGUGGCAGUUCAAGUCUGCUGUCAAAGACCGGGGCUCAACCUCGGGAAGGCAGUGGAAACUGAACAGCUAGAGUAUGGUAGGGGCAAAGGGAAUUCCUGGUGUAGCGGUGAAAUGCGUAGAGAUCAGGAAGAACAUCGGUGGCGAAGGCGCUUUGCUGGACCAUAACUGACACUCAGGGACGAAAGCUAGGGGAGCGAAUGGG
rnacentral:rRNA from 1 species